GCUCAGGACGAACGCUGGCGGCGUGCCUAAUACAUGCAAGUCGAACGAACUCUGGUAUUGAUUGGUGCUUGCAUCAUGAUUUACAUUUGAGUGAGUGGCGAACUGGUGAGUAACACGUGGGAAACCUGCCCAGAAGCGGGGGAUAACACCUGGAAACAGAUGCUAAUACCGCAUAACAACUUGGACCGCAUGGUCCGAGUUUGAAAGAUGGCUUCGGCUAUCACUUUUGGAUGGUCCCGCGGCGUAUUAGCUAGAUGGUGAGGUAACGGCUCACCAUGGCAAUGAUACGUAGCCGACCUGAGAGGGUAAUCGGCCACAUUGGGACUGAGACACGGCCCAAACUCCUACGGGAGGCAGCAGUAGGGAAUCUUCCACAAUGGACGAAAGUCUGAUGGAGCAACGCCGCGUGAGUGAAGAAGGGUUUCGGCUCGUAAAACUCUGUUGUUAAAGAAGAACAUAUCUGAGAGUAACUGUUCAGGUAUUGACGGUAUUUAACCAGAAAGCCACGGCUAACUACGUGCCAGCAGCCGCGGUAAUACGUAGGUGGCAAGCGUUGUCCGGAUUUAUUGGGCGUAAAGCGAGCGCAGGCGGUUUUUUAAGUCUGAUGUGAAAGCCUUCGGCUCAACCGAAGAAGUGCAUCGGAAACUGGGAAACUUGAGUGCAGAAGAGGACAGUGGAACUCCAUGUGUAGCGGUGAAAUGCGUAGAUAUAUGGAAGAACACCAGUGGCGAAGGCGGCUGUCUGGUCUGUAACUGACGCUGAGGCUCGAAAGUAUGGGUAGCAAACAGGAUUAGAUACCCUGGUAGUCCAUACCGUAAACGAUGAAUGCUAAGUGUUGGAGGGUUUCCGCCCUUCAGUGCUGCAGCUAACGCAUUAAGCAUUCCGCCUGGGGAGUACGGCCGCAAGGCUGAAACUCAAAGGAAUUGACGGGGGCCCGCACAAGCGGUGGAGCAUGUGGUUUAAUUCGAAGCUACGCGAAGAACCUUACCAGGUCUUGACAUACUAUGCAAAUCUAAGAGAUUAGACGUUCCCUUCGGGGACAUGGAUACAGGUGGUGCAUGGUUGUCGUCAGCUCGUGUCGUGAGAUGUUGGGUUAAGUCCCGCAACGAGCGCAACCCUUAUUAUCAGUUGCCAGCAUUAAGUUGGGCACUCUGGUGAGACUGCCGGUGACAAACCGGAGGAAGGUGGGGAUGACGUCAAAUCAUCAUGCCCCUUAUGACCUGGGCUACACACGUGCUACAAUGGAUGGUACAACGAGUUGCGAACUCGCGAGAGUAAGCUAAUCUCUUAAAGCCAUUCUCAGUUCGGAUUGUAGGCUGCAACUCGCCUACAUGAAGUCGGAAUCGCUAGUAAUCGCGGAUCAGCAUGCCGCGGUGAAUACGUUCCCGGGCCUUGUACACACCGCCCGUCACACCAUGAGAGUUUGUAACACCCAAAGUCGGUGGGGUAACCUUUUAGGAACCAGCCGCC
rnacentral:rRNA from 1 species